rnacentral:rRNA from 1 species
GAUGAACGCUGGCGGCGUGCCUAAUACAUGCAAGUCGAGCGAACGGACGAGAAGCUUGCUUCUCUGAUGUUAGCGGCGGACGGGUGAGUAACACGUGGAUAACCUACCUAUAAGACUGGGAUAACUUCGGGAAACCGGAGCUAAUACCGGAUAAUAUUUUGAACCGCAUGGUUCAAAAGUGAAAGACGGCCUUGCUGUCACUUAUAGAUGGAUCCGCGCUGCAUUAGCUAGUUGGUAAGGUAACGGCUUACCAAGGCAACGAUGCAUAGCCGACCUGAGAGGGUGAUCGGCCACACUGGAACUGAGACACGGUCCAGACUCCUACGGGAGGCAGCAGUAGGGAAUCUUCCGCAAAGGGCGAAAGCCUGACGGAGCGACGCCGCGUGAGUGAUGAAGGUCUUCGGAUCGUAAAACUCUGUUAUUAGGGAAGAACAUAUGUGUAAGUAACUGUGCACAUCUUGACGGUACCUAAUCAGAAAGCCACGGCUAACUACGUG